rnacentral:rRNA from 1 species
UACGAAGGGGGCUAGCGUUGCUCGGAAUCACUGGGCGUAAAGCGCACGUAGGCGGAUCUUUAAGUCAGGGGUGAAAUCCCAAGGCUCAACCUUGGAACUGCCUUUGAUACUGGGGAUCUCGAGUCCGGAAGAGGUUGGUGGAACUCCGAGUGUAGAGGUGAAAUUCGUAGAUAUUCGGAAGAACACCAGUGGCGAAGGCGGCCAACUGGUCCGGCACUGACGCUGAGGUGCGAAAGCGUGGGGAGCGAACGGG